AAACACAAUUUACAUUGAAGAAUGCAAAGGGACGAUAUUUACCUACAUGUUCACUGCCUCACUCCUGGCGAAGCAACUGCUGAGUGUGUGCCCCUGAAAGGAUGCUGUUUUCUCGGCUCAAGCCAUUUUCUGCACGCACCCCCUCUUUCUAUGAAUAUAGCGAUGACUGCUGCGUACGCUUCCCACACCCUGCGGCGAGGUGCGGUGCCCGCUCAGAGCCAGCUGCCCCCCAAGCCAGGCCGCUCCGUGGGGUGCGGGGGAGCAGCCACUUUGGAGCUGAGUGUUUCCCGCUUUUGAGUUGUCCUGACAUCCUUCUUGAAAUGACUGUUAAAACUAAAAUAAAUUACACUGCAUUUAUUUUAUAUUCUUGGUUGUAAUAAAAUUUAAUUGACUUUGUUUCUAUGUGGAUCUUUUAAGGAUAGAAAAACUCCCGUUCACAAGCUUUAGUGUCACAAUUUCAUCUGUAGGCCUAGAAGCUCUUGAGAUUAUACUCCGCCCUGUAGAGAUGCAAAAUCUCCCUGGGAGUUGCAAUAUGUUAUUUUAUUCAGGAUGCUUAUGAUGUCACAAAACCACAGACACCAUGCUUACAUAUACCUCAGAAGCAGAAUUACAGGUUUUAAGACAUAUCUUGGGAAAGCAUCCCUUUUAUAAAAAAGAAAAAAAGUUAGAAUGAUGUUUUUGAAAAAGCAAAUAGGCAGCAUUUUGUGGGUAGAGUGGCAUUGGGUUUUUCUCCUUUUUAUAAGAACACUCCGUUUUACCUGGCUGCCCCUUAUAAUCUACUUGAUGAAUCUAAUAUGGUUGCUCCAACGGUCAAGGGCAUCAUGGAGUGAACUGAAGAAUGUUUAAAUGGCAUAAACACAAAGCUUCCAUUUCUAUUUAAAAUAGAUAUUGCACGUGUCCAGUUGCUUCACUGCUUGACACAGACUGUAUAUAUAUUCAAUACAGUGCUAUUUGUAGGGUAGAGCUGCUCUUGGAAAACUGUUCUUUGACCAUAGCUGCAUUUCUUUCUUAUAAAAAAAAAAAAAAAUUUUUUUUUUUUUAAUUUGAUAGCACAAGCAGGGAGAGAGGCAGAGGGAAAGGAAGAAACAGACUCCCCAUGGAGCAGGGAGCCCAACGUGGGCCUCCAUCUCAGGACCCUGAAAUCAUGACCUGAGCUGAAAGCAGAUUCUUAACUGAUGGAGCUACCCAGGCGCCCCAUAGCUGCCUUUCUAACCAGCCACCUGAGUAAUAGGAUGUGGAUGACUGUACAAACUCCUUACCACUCCUGGGAAAAUCCAUUUUGAAAGUAGGGGUCUAUGUCCUUAGCCAACUAUAAGUUAUUUGUGGAUAGCCCCUGGGUUUGAUUCCUCCUCCACUCCCAGCAUCUGUCAUGACACCCCACACAGAACAGACAAUUAAUAGGGCAAGUCAUUAGCAUCAUUUUUUUUUUUUUUUUACCUUGGCAUAGAAUUCCUGGAUCAUAUUAAAUGGUGGGCAUUUUAAAGCCAUCACUUUAUCCUGCAGGUGAUAGAAAGCCAGCUUGGACAAGAAAAACACAAGCCUAAUAGGAACAUUUGUUCAAUUAUUCUAAAUGAGAGAAUAUAGGGGACAGAGACAAAAAUACUGACUUAAAUGUAUUAAGUACAUUACUUCUGCUUUUUCAGGCUUUUUCUGCUGCUUAGAUUUUUUUCCAGAAAGUACUACUGAAUAUAAAAGUGCUGAUUUGUAUCCCUUCAAAAUCCUUACAGUGAAGCCCUUAUCCCCAGUGUGGCUAUAUUUGGAGAUGAGACCUUUAUCCAAGUAAUUAAAGUUAAAUGAAGUCAAAAGGAUAGGAUCUUGAUUUAAAAAAAAAAAAAAAAAAAAAGAUAAAACCCUGAUCUAAAAUGGUUAGUUUCCUUGUAAGAAGAAAACACUAGGGAGCUCUCUUCCCCUACCUUCUCUCUCCUUACAGCCUUCUCUCCCUACCAUGUGAGAACACAGCAAGAAGGUUGUCAUCUUCAAGCCAGGAAGACAGCCUUCAACAGAAACCAAACCCUGCCAGACCUUGAUCUCGGACUUCCCAGCCUUCAGAACUGUGAGAAAAUAAAUUCUGUUGUUGAAGUUAUCCGGUUGAUGGUAUUUGGUUGGUUACAGCAACUCAUGCAGACUAAUAGAGAUUUUGGUACCAAGACAUGGGGUACUGCUGUAAACAAGUACCUAAACGUGUGGCAGUAGCUCAUGGAGUCUGGAGGUAAAUGCUAGAAAUAAGAAAUUUUAGAGGUAAUUCUGGUGGGGGCUUAGAAAGAAGAGAGGAGAGCUGGAGAGAAAGCUUCCAUCUUCUUAGAGAACACAUCAAUAAUCAUGAACAGAAUGUUGGUAGAAUAAUGGACGUGAAAGCCAUUCUGGUGAGAUCUCAGAUGGAAAUAAGGAACAGGUCAUUGGAAACUAGAGAAAAGGCAAUCUUUGUUACAAACCUGCAAAAAACUUGGCCAAAUUUUUCUCUAGUGUUUUAUGGAAGGUAGGAUUUUUGAGGGGUGAAAUUUCAUUUUGUUGCUAUAUAUAGAAAUACUAUUGCCUUUUGCAUAUUGCCUUUAUAUCCUGCAACAUUGCCAAUUUCACUGCUCUGAUAGCUUGUCGUGUGUGUGUGUGUGUGUGUGUGUGUGUGUGAGAGAGAGAGAGAGAGAGAGAGAGAGGAUUCCCUUAGAUUCUUUAUAUAUACAAUCAUGUCAUCUGUGAAUAAAGAUAGUUGUACUUCUUCCUUUCUGAUUUAAAGAAUUUUUAUUUAUUUUUCUUGCCUAAAUGCAUGGGCUAGCAGUUCUAAUACAAUGUUGAAAAAGAACAAAUAUGAGUGAACACUUUGUAAGGUUCUUAGUCUUAGAGAGAAAGUAUUCCUAUAUUUCACCAUUAGAUAUGGUGUUAGAUAAAAGCUUCUCAUAGAUGCCCUUAUUCAAAUAGAGGAAAUUUCUUUCUACUUCACCUUUGACAAAAGUUUUAAUCACAAACAGAUGCUGCAUUGUGUUAAAUGCCUUUCCUGCAUAUGAAAUGAUUAUGUGAUUUUUCUCCUUUAUGUUGUUAAUAUGAUGAAUUCCAUUAAAAAAAUAUCUUUGACGAGAGGUGCCUGGCUGGCUCAGUCGGAAGAGCAUGCGACUCUUGAUCUUGAGGGUUGUGAGUUUGAGCUUCACGUUGGGCAUAGCGAUUCCUUAAAUAAAUAAACAUAAAAAAAUUUUUUUUGGCUUAGCACAAACAAAUUUAUUAUCUCACAGUUUAUGUGGGUCAGGAGUGUGGUCAUGCAUUGACUGGGUCCUCUGCUGAGGGUCUCACCAGAUCUCAGGGUGACAGCUGGGACUUUAAGCUCAUUAAAAACUUGGGGUUCUCUUCCAAGAUCACGUUUUUGGCAGAUUUCAGCUCCUGUGGUUGUAGGACUUGCCUGUAGGAGGACCAUCCCCAGCUCCUAGAGACUGUACUUUGCCAUGUGGCCUUUUCCACAACAUGUGGUUGGCUUCUUGGAGGCUGCCAGGAGAAUUCCUCUUUAGUCUGUUACAGUGUUUUAUACCACAUAAUGUAAUCACUGAUGUGCCUAUUCCAUCAUAUUCACAAGUCCUGUUCAAACGAGGGGAAUUAUGUAGGAUGUGUAUCGGGCUAUGCUGACUGAUUUUUGAAUGUUCAAACAACCUUGCAUUCCUCAGAUAAGGAUGAAGAGAAGGCUAUGUGAAGAUGGAAACAGAGACUGGAGUGAUGAAGCCACAAGCCAAGGAAUGCUGUCAGUCACCAGAAACUAAAGGCAAGGAUGAAUUCUCUGAAAGGAAUUUGGCCUUGCUGAUGCUUUGAUUUCAGAUUUCUGGCCUCUAGAACUGAGAGAGAAUAAGUUUCUGUUGUUUUAAGCCCCCGGGGUUUGCAGUAAUUUGUUACAACAAAUCUAGGAAACCAAUAGAUUUUGGUAAUGGUGUAUUACCAUUUUUCCAAUUUGCUCACUUGGAU
rnacentral:lncRNA from 1 species